UUGGUGGCGCUGUAUACGCCUUUCAGUUGGUUGCGAUCGGCCAAUACAAAUGUAAAGAAGAAGAACAAUCCUUUCCCAUACUGCAAUGCGUCAAUAAUUUGAUAAUGUACCAAAAUGACACUGAUCUACAAGGCACUGAUGGUUCAGGCAUUCUUGGGGGCCCUGAUGUACGCAGACGGAUCCCCAUUAAGCUGAUAUCCAAGCAGCCAGUCAGAAACAAGGCUGUUAACCACUCACAGAGACCCCUAAGCAGACUGCCCUCCAAAACCCAGUCUAAUGAUGAAGAGGGCUUUGGGUUCAAGCAGGAAGAUAGAUUUGAGCGCAAGUCUGGAGAUGCGUUAGGCAACCAGAGGAGGUUCCCUCAGCCCGUGUUCUGGGACUACAAACUGAAUCUGGUUGGCGAAAAGGACGACACGCCAGUUCAUUUCUGUGAGAUAUGUGGCCUUCCCAUAAAGCUCUAUGGACGCAUGAUUCCCUGCAAGCAUGUAUUUUGCUAUGAUUGUGCCCUGCUCCAUGAGAAGAAGAUGGAAAAGAUGUGUCCAGGUCUCACCCUAUACAGCUGCACAGAUCCGGUCCAGCGGAUCGAGCAGUGCCUGCGGGGCCUCCUCUACAUGUGCAGCAUCGUUCCGGGCUGCAAGCGCACCUACUUGUCCCAGCGCGACCUGCAGGCCCAUGUCAACCACCGACACAUGAGGGCAUCCAAGGCUGCAGGAGGGGGCAUUCUACCACGCCUAGAGCCCUUGCAUCCACAACUGGCCUCAGAGCCACCUGACCACUUCCGUCGAAUACCACUGCCCCACCUGGCCAAAGGACACCCCCUCAUACCCCCACAGCUGCAGGUACACGACCCCUAUGGUCAGCCCCCUCCCGCCUCGCCGUCAACCCCCUCCUCUGAACUGGGACCCUCUGGUCUCCAUCGCCCCCCACUGGGUCAGGAGACGUUCCGCAUUGCCACGUUGACUACUCGCAAGCACAGCAACCUCAUCACUGUGCCCAUUCAGGAUGACUCUGGGGACUCGCCCCUUCCCCAGCCUGCCCAGGGCAUGCCCCCUCCCCACCAGCAUCAGGGAGACUACCCUGGCCAGCCCCACCACCUGCUGGCCCUCCCACCCCAGCAGCAGCACUACGGCCCACCCCUCAGCCGCCACCCACCCUCAGCCACUCUAUGCAGCACCUGCCUCAGGGCUCCGGGACACCUCAUCUGGUCUACAACCAGGUCCCUCCCAUGUCCUCAGGCCUGCCUCCUAUCACCCCACCUCCUGGACACAUCAUGGGCCAGAUGCCUCCCUACAUGAACCACCCACCUCCCCCAGGCCCCCUGCCCCAACACGGUGGUCCUCCUGUUAACACGCCCCCUCCCCACCACUACAAUCCAAGCUCCAUGCAGAAGGAUCGGGGCACUCUUAGCCCGCCCUUUAAUCAGCCCGGGGGACUGAGCCCAGGGAUGUGGCCAGCCCCCAGGGGCACUCACCCACCCUGCAUGCAGGGGCCCCCACCCCAUAGCCAGAUGCCUGGUCCUCCCCAGCACCCAGACCAGUCCCGCUACCACCCUUACUAUCAGUAACCUCACCCACAAAACCUAGUUCAGAGUUCAGACAUUGCAUUGUGUUGAUUAGUUUAAAUAUGGAGCCUAAUAUGAGUAAGUGGAACUAAUGAUAACCUGUAUACUCACUUCAGGAUUUCUGAACAUCUCAAUAGAUUUUAGAAAUAGUUUCUAUGUUUUUGAAUUCUCAUCAAAUUAAUUGUGAAAGACUGAACUUAAUUUAAUUUUUCUGAAGUCAAGCCUUAUUCUGACACAUGGAAAUGUUAUUUUGUCAUUUUCCAAAUAUGUAAUGCCUGGUGAAUUUUUCAAUGGGAUAGAAUUUGAUCAAAUGUAUGGUUACAAAAAUGAUUUAAUGUCUUUGGUACAUUGUGUGGAGGCAUUGGCCAUUCAUAUUUUGGGUGAGAUGUUAAACAAAAUGAAUGUACUGAUAUGAAAAUAAUGAUAAAAAAUACCUGCCAUUUCUGAAAUGUAAGCAACUGAGUUUUUUUUUAACCAAAUGUUAUUACAAUAAAGGUUGCAUACCCCC